AUUGAACGCUGGCGGCAGGCCUAACACAUGCAAGUCGAGCGUGCGGCGGGCGGGUGAGUAAUGCCUGGGAAUUCCCCAGUAGAGGGGGAUAACAGUUGGAAAAGACUGCUAAUACCGCAUACGAUUGGAUUGCCCAGGUGUGAUUAGCUUGUUGGUGGGGUAAUGGCUCACCAAGGCGACGAUCCCUAGCUGGUCUGAGAGGAUGAUCAGCCACACUGGAACUGAGACACGGUCCAGACUCCUACGGGAGGCAGCAGUGGGGAAUAUUGCACAAUGGGGGAAAGCCUGAUGCAGCCAUGCCGCGUGUGUGAAGAAGGCCUUCGGGUUGUAAAGCACUUUCAGCGAGGAGGCGUUACUCGCAGAAGAAGCACCGGCUAACUCCGUGCCAGCAGCCGCGGUAAUUC
rnacentral:rRNA from 1 species